GUUUUUGAAGUUGACUGUAUUUGUUCUUCUAGAAAACAGUCUGUUGCUCUGAUGGCUUCUGUUCCUUUCCAUCUGCUUUUGAGUGAAAGAAAGAGAGAGAAAAUAUGGCUGUUUUUCAAGAACCAGCCUUUUAGCCCUGAGAAAACUUCAAGAUUAAAGAGGAAAUCAUCACCUUCCAUGGACAAGAUCAAUAUUCCACUUAAAUUUUACUGGCAAAACAGAUAUAUAGCAGAUUGGGAAACUACCUGACCAAUCCAGUGACACAGUUAAAACUAUUUCCA
rnacentral:lncRNA from 1 species